rnacentral:lncRNA from 1 species
GGUUAGAUAAGAAUUCAGUUAAUUAUGCAAUACAUUUUCAGUCAGUCUACUCCAAAACAGCAACCAAGCAAGUAAGCGAUGCAAAACAUUACAGUAUUGACUCUAGGUAGUAAGCGACCAAUAGCAUGCAGUACAAUAGACUCUAUGUGUCACUAGUCUACUCGAUCAAGCAUGCUUGUUCAUUUUAUUUGUUUGCCACAAGUUCCGGUCCAGCACUGAUCUAUAGUCCUAAUUUUAUUUUCUAGUUAUUUUGGUCAGGUCCGGAGGUGCACUUGCUACAUAACAGACGUCGGAAAGAGAUAGGUACCAAAUAAUUUUUUUUUUUAAGAAUAGACAAAUUAGUUCAAGAUGAGAAGACUUUAGUUAUUUAGAUGAGAAGCGAAAUUAUUCUUUCUUACGAGAGUCUCUACCUAAGUACAUGCCUGUUUCCUCAAGCGCGUUCUGUUACCAAUUUUUUUGUGACGCCCGUUAUCUCUCACAAAGUCAGCGUAACGGAAGAAUCGUCACGUAAAGAGUUGCACCAAGAUCAACUUGAGAAAAACAGUAGCAUGUACAAUAGGAACCUUCACCGUU